rnacentral:rRNA from 1 species
AAAUUGAAGAGUUUGAUCAUGGCUCAGAUUGAACGCUGGCGGCAGGCCUAACACAUGCAAGUCGAGCGGAAACGAGUUAUCUGAACCUUCGGGGAACGAUAACGGCGUCGAGCGGCGGACGGGUGAGUAAUGCCUAGGAAAUUGCCCUGAUGUGGGGGAUAACCAUUGGAAACGAUGGCUAAUACCGCAUGAUGCCUACGGGCCAAAGAGGGGGACCUUCGGG